CAAACACCACGGACACACUCUCAGCUGCAGAGUGAGAUAUCCAUCUGUUUCAUCAGAGUGGACCCUCGUACUAACUGUGCAAGAACAAUUUCCAACAAUGAGCUGUGGUUGGUGAUUCCUCACGUUACAUCCGGGGACACUGGAGACUAUCAGUGUGUGGCAGAGAAUGAACAUGGAGCAGUGGAGGGGUCCAUAACCAUCACUGUGGAACACAGUGGAGGAGAGAUUCUGCACGUGAUCUGAUCCUGGGAAUACGAGCUGUGAUAUUCCUUGUGGCUGUGGUUAUCACUAUCGCUGGAGUCUGUGUCUGGGAGGGACAAACAGUGAAAGGAAGUCGACAGACUGUUUAAAGCUUUUGUACAGCAACAAUCUGCACAAACAGCAAUUUCCAAGCGGACUCCCAUCAGCAGACAGAGUGCAAUGAAACAUCGGCAUGCCUGCUUCUUAAUGUACGGAGAGAAACCUGGAACGAGAGAUUCUCCUCCUUCUCCUCAGCAAGCUGAAACUUUUCCUUAUACCUGGUGCUCCCUAGUCCUGCUGUGUGGACACAUCACAACCACGGCAUUGUCUGGCUGUGUGCAGCCAACAUGGUCGAAUAGGAAUGAACAGAAAUGUGACGUUGCUAAACUCUGUUCUCUGAUUGGAAUGUGCUUUCUGAAUGCUGCACCUUUUUCAUGCUGCGAUAGAUUGUAAGAAGCAUUUGGGUUGUGAAUAAAAUUACAUUGAUUAACA